UACAGAGGUGGCAAGCGUUGUUCGGAAUUACUGGGCGUAAAGGGCGCGUAGGCGGCUUGGUCAGUCCCGUGUGAAAUCCCUCGGCUCAACUGAGGAACUGCACGGGAAACUGCCUGGCUUGAGUUCGGGAGAGGGAAGCGGAAUUCCGGGUGUAGCGGUGAAAUGCGUAGAUAUCUGGAGGAAUACCGGUGGCGAAGGCGGCAUCCUGGACCGAGAUUGACACUGAGGAGCGAAAGCGUGGGGAGCGAACAGG
rnacentral:rRNA from 1 species